rnacentral:rRNA from 1 species
GAUGAACGCUAGCGGCAGGCUUAAUACAUGCAAGUCGAGGGGCAGCACGGGUAGCAAUACCUGGUGGCGACCGGCAAACGGGUGCGGAACACGUACGCAACCUUCCCGAAACAGGUGAAUAGCCCUCCGAAAGGAGGAUUAAUACACCGUAAUAUAUAGUUGUGGCAUCACGGUUAUAUUAAAGGCAGCAAUGUCGGUUUUGGAUGGGCGUGCGCCUGAUUAGGUAGUUGGUAGGGAACGGCCUACCAAGCCUUCGAUCAGUAACUGGUGUGAGAGCACGACCAGUCACACGGGCACUGAGACACGGGCCCGACUCCUACGGGAGGCAGCAGUAAGGAAUAUUGGUCAAUGGACGCAAGUCUGAACCAGCCAUGCCGCGUGCAGGAUGAAGGCCCUCUGGGUUGUAAACUGUCUUUUAUCUGGGGAACGAAAAAGGGAUUCAUCCUCACUUGACGGUACCAGAGGAAUAAGCACCGG